AAAUAUUAGUACUUGUAUAUUCAGUUGAAUUCUAUUUCACUGAUUAAUUGCUAUUGUAGUUGGGAAAAUUAUAAAAGCAUUUUAAUUUUGAUGUAAACUAUACAUGUGGUUUAUUAAUUAUAUUAACAUUAUCAAAAAUGGAUAUCAGGAAAGACUCUAUUUUGAUGAGAAAAGUACAAUAUUGAAGAACAAAGGACAUUGUCCUAACUUGGUAAACACUGACUGUUAACAUUGAUGGGGAACCUGGGCAUACUUGUGGUUAUAAAGGUUAACCCCAAACUUCACACUCCCAUGUACUUUUUUCUUAACCACCUAUCAUUUUUGGAUAUAUGUUAUUCUAGUGUAUUUACACCCAAACUUUUGCAGAUAUUGAUUAUGGAAGAUGGGACCAUUUCUUUUAUAGGAUGCAUGAUACAAUUUUUCUUUAUUUGUACAUUCGUGAUUACAGAAAUAUU
rnacentral:lncRNA from 1 species